UGGGGAAUAUUGCACAAUGGGCGAAAGCCUGAUGCAGCGACGCCGCGUGAGGGAUGACGGCCUUCGGGUUGUAAACCUCUUUCAGCAGGGACGAAGCGCAAGUGACGGUACCUGCAGAAGAAGCACCGGCUAACUACGUGCCAGCAGCCGCGGUAAUACGUAGGGUGCAAGCGUUGUCCGGAAUUACUGGGCGUAAAGAGUUCGUAGGCGGUUUGUCGCGUCGUUUGUGAAAACCAGCAGCUCAACUGCUGGCGUGCAGGCGAUACGGGCAGGCUUGAGUACUGCAGGGGAGACUGGAAUUCCUGGUGUAGCGGUGAAAUGCGCAGAUAUCAGGAGGAACACCGGUGGCGAAGGCGGGUCUCUGGGCAGUAACUGACGCUGAGGAACGAAAGCGUGGGUAGCGAACAGG
rnacentral:rRNA from 1 species